AUGCAAUGUAUGUUAUAUUGGGUGUACAUGAUUAUACAGUAACUCCAAUCAUUUUACAGAAGGGAAACAAUGGAUGUGUGACGAAAGUCACCUCGUCACUGGUUUUUGGAGGAGCCUGUUUGCCAACCUCCUACCCUGUGAUUAUGGCCUGUGACAAACUGAACCUCGUCAAGGGUUCUUGGAGGGGCCUGCUUGCCAGCCUCUUGCCUCAGGACUAUGGGCCCUGCAAUACACCUUGCCCAAUGCACUUUAAAAGACUCUGUUCCUGUGAAGUAUGUACUUUUGUACUCCAGACAGAGAGACCGACCGGUAGCCCUAAUUCUCUGGAACUGUUUUGGG